CAGCCGCCGCGGUAACACGUAGGGCGCAAGCGUUGUCCGGAAUCAUCGGGCGUAAAGAGCUCGUAGGUGGUUUGUCACGUCUGCUGUGAAAACUCGGGGCUUAACCCCGAGCUUGCAGUGGAUACGGGCAGACUAGAGGUAGGUAGGGGAGAAUGGAAUUCCCGGUGUAGCGGUGAAAUGCGCAGAUAUCGGGAGGAACACCGGUGGCGAAGGCGGUUCUCUGGGCCUUACCUGACACUGAGGAGCGAAAGCGUGGGGAGCGAACAGGAUUAGAUACCCCUGUAGUCCCUGUCUCUUAUAC
rnacentral:rRNA from 1 species